GCUAUUAUUUUGUUUUAAUUGAUAUGCUAAUACAGAAGAGGCAUUAUGUAACCGUAUUUUCUUUAAAUAACAGUGAUCUUGCAAAGCAGCUGGUUCCAGGUCCUUGGAUUGAAAAAACAGGCAAAGACAUCGAGGAGCUUCUGAGACAGACACAUGCAAAUGACUGUGGCAUUUUUAUGAUGAUGGUAAGCUUUCAAACAUGGAACUUUCAAAUUAGCUGGACAUGUUUUCAGUACCUGAACCUGUUUAAUGUUUCUGACACAGUACGCCUGGUACCUCAUUCUUAGUGAUCCAUUUGACUUCACUGUUGUAAGUUGAACCGAUAAUUUGAUCGUUACAGUUCCUGUAAGUUUGACAAACUAGUGUGGAUAUUUAAAGUAGCAGCAACAUACAUGUACAUGAAGUUAAUCAUUGUGGAUUUGUGGAAUGUGCUCUUCCUAUAAGGACGACACGCCAGUUCUGUGGAGAUGGUGGUGUUCUGUUAUUAUGGAAAACCUAAUCCUGGAAGGGUAUGAUUGAUUUAACCUUUGUUUGUCAGGCCAGCAGCAGCUGGGCCUAAUUGAGCGUGAUUCUGUGGUUUUGUUUUGUAUGCUUUUCUUCCUCUCUCUCUCUAGGUGUGGCUCAGCAGGCAAGGAGUGGCAACAGGUGUUCUUUAUUCAAUCAUGAUCGCUGGGUGGGGAAGCAGCUGAGAGCAGUUCAUCAGAUCAUCACCAUCUCCUUCAUAAGCAGACAUGGCCGUAGCCAGUCACCGGUUCAGCCGUUCCAGUUCCUGCCUCGCCACAGCCACGUUUCGUCUGCUCGUUUGAGGAAGUUCGGCAGAGACGUUUCAGCCAUCCGGCGUUCCUCCCACACAUCGAUGGCUGUCUUUGUUCCAACUACGUUUCAUCUGCCGUUUGUUUGAGGAAGUUCGGCAGAGACGUUUCAGCCAUUCGGCGUUCCUUCCACACAUCGAUGGUUGCCCCGCUCCUGCAACCAUAUAGACUGCCGGCCGACUACAAACCAUCAAUCAGCCCUGGAACCCAGUCCGAGCAUCCCGAUUCUUCCGUCGUUAAGUACUGAGAGAAAAACUAAUUGUUUGCCUGAGUUGAGAAACAUGAACCUGCGUAGUAGUAGUUGAGAUGAGACAGCUGGUUGUCAGAGCCGAGCAUUAGUGAGAGAGAGCAAGUUAGUAUUGAUCAUUUCUGUGUAACUUCACUAUAAGUAUUCUUGAGAUUUAGUGACAUUGGAAGCGCUAGGAGAUUAGCUUCGUUGGUGUUUUGUAUGUAAUUCUUGUUGAGGAAUUUAGUUUGGAGUUUUUUUUCACUGGUGAUUAGUUCUCCGAGCCUCUAGUCUGUGCAACCUCUGUUUUGUGUUACACAAGAUACUUCCUGUUACCCGCCCCGUUCUGGGAUUUGUAGU